UGGUGUAGAGAUGGUAGGUGGUGGUCUGUGGUGGUGUAGAGAUGGUAGGUGGUGGUCUGUGGUGGUGUAGAGAUGGUAGGUGGGGGUCUAGGGUGGUGUAGAGAUGGUAGGUGGGGGUCUGUGGUGGUGUAGAGAUGGUAGGUGGUGGUGUAGAGAUGGUAGGUGGUGGUCUGUGGUGGUGUACAGAUGGUAGGUGGUGGUUUAGAGAUGGUAGGUGGUGGUCUGUGGUGGUGUAGAGAUGGUAGGUGGUGGUCUGUGGUGGUGUAGAGAUGGUAGAUGGUGGUGUAGAGAUGGUAGGUGGGGGUCUGUGGUGGUGUAGAGAUGGUAGGUGGUGGUGUAGAGACGGUAGAUGGUGGUGUAGAGAUGGUAGGUGCGGGUCUAUGGUGGUGUAGAGAUGGUAGGUGGUGGUGUAGAGAUGGUAGGUGGUGGUCUGUGGUGGUGUAGAGAUGGUCUGUGGUGGUGUAGAGAUGGUAGGUGGGGGUCUGUGGUGGUGCAGAGAUGGUAGGUAGUGGUCUGUUGUGGUGUAGAGAUGGUAGGUGGGGGUCUGUGGUGGUGCAGAGAUGGUAG
rnacentral:lncRNA from 1 species